AACGAACGCUGGCGGCGUGGCUAAGGCAUGCAAGUCGAACGGACUGUGUGGCGGGUAACCAAAGCACAGUUAGUGGCGAACGGGUGAGGAAUAGAUAGGUAACGUACCCCGGACUCAGGGAUAGCGGCGCCCUUCGGGGCUUUAGCGAAAGUGCCGGUAAUACCUGAUGAUAUCACUGUCCCGCAUGAGGUGGUGAUCAAGGGUCCGCCGGUCUGGGAUCGGCCUAUCUCCUAUCAGCUUGUUGGUGAGGUAACGGCUCACCAAGGCUUCGACAGGUACCAGGCGUGAGAGCGCGAUCUGGCACAUCGGGACUGAGACACUGCCCGGACAUCUACGGAUGGCUGCAGCAACGAAUAUUCCGCAAUGGGCGAAAGCCUGACGGAGCGACGCCGCGUGUAGGACGAAGCACCUCGGUGUGUAAACUACUGUCAGGGAUUAGGAAGCAAGUGACCAAUCCCAAAGGAAGCCUCGGCUAACUCCGUGCCAGCCGCCGCCGUAACAC
rnacentral:rRNA from 1 species